ACAUUAUUUUCUUAUACAUAAACAGAUCUCUUGAAAGCCCAAAAUCGAAGUAAGAACGACUUUGUUUACACUAACCAACUCCUUACACAGCAUUAUUUUCAUAUAUACAAACAGAAAGGUGUCUCAUUUCCCGGAAAACAGUAAUUGAUUAUCAAAAAAUCUUCUUCCUUGCUCAUCGAAGGGGAUCAGUAUAUCCCUGAACAGCGAUCCUGGGUCAGGUUAUGGACUGUUAAUUUAGAUAAUAUUUUUUAUUAUAUUAAAUACCAUUAUGGCACUGGCUCAGUAAAUUGUAAUGGAGAUUUCCUUAAAACAAUUAGUGGCUUCAGCAAGGAAGGACCUCAGACCAUCUUUCUUAUUGGCACCCAUGAGGCCUGUAUACAGACAGUAACCAAUGGUGUUAACAAGUAUGGCUGCGUUCACACUCUCAAAGUCAAUGGAGAGAUUGUACCAGAAUAGAACAGGUGCUGUUCUUACUGCCUCUCUCUUGGAGAGAGAGAAAGUGAGAGCAGUGAGAAGGAAGGGUAGAAAUGAAAAUAUUGCGAAUGAAGGAUGGGGAAGUAGACAAAGCAAAAGAAAAGACAGGGGGGAGUGGGGGGAGAGAGAUAUAAAAAAAAGAAGAGAAUAACUAGAAAAGAGGAGCCUAAAAGAGACAGUGAUAGAGAAAGAAGAAUUAGACAAAAAUUAAGUUAAGCAUGAGUGAGUGAGAGAGA
rnacentral:lncRNA from 1 species